UGCGAACGCUGGCGGCAGUCCUAACACAUGCAAGUCGAACGACGUGGCGUACGGGUGAGUACCACGUGGUAACGUGCCUUUCGGUUCGGACUAACUCAGGGAACCUUGUGCUCAUACCGAUUGCCUUUAGAGCGGCCCGCGUCUGAUUAGCGAGUUGGUGAGGUAAAGGCUCACCAAGGCGACGAUCAGUAGCUGUUCUGAGAGGAUGAUCAGCCACAUUGGAACUGAGACACGGCGCAAACUCCGACGGGAGGCAGCAGUGGGGAAUGAUGCGCAAUGAGCGAAAGCCAGAGGCAGCGAUGCCGGGUGAAUGAUGAAGGUCUUAGAAUUGUAAAAAUCUUUCACCGGGGACGCGGUAACCGGAGAAGAAGCCCCGGCUAACUUCGUGCAAGCAGCCGCGGUAAUUC
rnacentral:rRNA from 1 species